GGCCAAUUUGCCUGUCGUUUUAACCUCAGCCAUGCUGCCUGCAGGUUCAGCUGGUCUCCCUAUAGUAGCCUCAGCUGUGUCCCUAUAGGAGAAGCAUCAGCAGCGCUGCCUGCAGGUUCAGCUGGUCUCCCUAUAGUAGCCUCAGCUGUGUCCCUAUAGGAGAAGCAUCAGCAGCGCUGCCUGCAGGUUCAGCUGGUC